AUUGAACGCUGGCGGCAGGCCUAACACAUGCAAGUCGAGCGAGCGGCGGACGGGUGAGUAAUGUAUGGGGACUGCCCGAUAGAGGGGGAUAACUACUGGAAACGGUAGCUAAUACCGCAUACUAUCGGAUAACCCAUAUGGGAUUAGCUAGUAGGUGAGGUAAUGGCUCACCUAGGCUACGCUCCCUAGCUGGUCUGAGAGGAUGAUCAGCCACACUGGAACUGAGACACGGCCCAGAAUCCGACGGAGGCAGCAGUGGGGAAUAUUGCACAAUGGGCGAAAGCCUGACGGAGCCAUGCCGCGUGUAUGAAGAAGGCCUUAGGGUUGUAAAGUACUUUCAGUUGGGAGGCGUUACCGACAGAAGAAGCACCGGCUAACUCCGUGCCAGCAGCCGCGGUAAUUC
rnacentral:rRNA from 1 species